CUGCACAUACGUGCCUUUGCUCGAAGCACUUCGAGGAGAAAUGUUUUGAUAGGGCUAAGACUGGAGGGAAUUGGCUAAGAAGUGAUGCUAUCCCGACACUUUUCGAUUUUCCGGAGCAUAUGAAAUCGAAGAGGACUAAGCUCCGUAAAUCACACACUAGAAGGCGUUCGUUAGAUGAUGCCUCGUCUUCUGAAGUCUGUGCUUCCAAUGCCUUGACGUUAUGCGAUAUGGAAACGAACACCUCGAAAAACAAAAGUUUCAGGUAUAUUGGGGACUUUUCGAAUAGCGAUU